UGGGGAAUAUUGCACAAUGGAGGAAACUCUGAUGCAGCGACGCCGCGUGAGUGAAGAAGGUCUUCGGAUCGUAAAACUCUGUCCUUGGUGACGAAAAAAAUGACGGUAGCCAAGGGGGAAGCCCCGGCUAACUACGUGCCAGCAGCCGCGGUAAUACGUAGGGGGCGAGCGUUGUCCGGAUUUACUGGGCGUAAAGGGUGAGUAGGCGGUAAUAUGUGUCAGAUGUAAAAGGCUAUGGCUUAACCAUAGUUAGCAUUUGAAACUGUAUUACUUGAGUGCAGGAGAGGUAAGUGGAAUUCCUAGUGUAGCGGUGAAAUGCGUAGAUAUUAGGAGGAACACCAGUGGCGAAGGCGACUUACUGGACUGUAACUGACGCUGAGUCACGAAAGCGUGGGUAGCAAACA
rnacentral:rRNA from 1 species